rnacentral:rRNA from 1 species
GACGAACGCUGGCGGCGUGCUUAACACAUGCAAGUCGAACGGAAAGGCCCUGCUUUUGUGGGGUGCUCGAGUGGCGAACGGGUGAGUAACAAGUGAGUAACCUGCCCUUGACUUUGGGAUAACUUCAGGAAACUGGGGCUAAUAACGGAUAGGAGCUCCUGCUGCAUGGUGGGGGUUGGAAAGUUUCGGCGGUUGGGGAUGGACUCGCGGCUUAUCAGCUUGUUGGUGGGGUAGUGGCUUACCAAGGCUUUGACGGGUAGCCGGCCUGAGAGGGUGACCGGCCACAUUGGGACUGAGAUACGGCCCAGACUCCUACGGGAGGCAGCAGUGGGGAAUAUUGCACAAUGGGCGGAAGCCUGAUGCAGCAACGCCGCGUGCGGGAUGACGGCCUUCGGGUUGUAAACCGCUUUCGCCUGUGACGAAGCGUAAGUGACGGUAAUGGGUAAAGAAGCACCGGCUAACUACGUG